rnacentral:RNase_P_RNA from 1 species
GAAGUCGUCCAGGCAGCCGCUGUCCGCCGGAAAUCCGGCGGGGGGAGGAAAGUCCGGGCUUCGCAGGGCAGGAUGCUGGCUAACGGCCAGGCGUUAUAAGUUUCGCGGCAGGUCCGCGAAACCCAAGGCGACGGAAAGCGCAACAGAAAAUAAACCGCCGAUGGCUUCGUGAGAAGAUCAGGCAAGGGUGAAACGGCAGGGUAAGAGCCUACCGCGAUUCUGGUGACAGAAUCGGCACGGCAAGCCCCAUCCGAAGCAAGGCUAAACAGGAGCAUAUGACGCGGCCCGCGCCGCUCCGGGUAAGCCGCUUGAGCCUUGCGGCAACGCAAGGCCCAGAGGAAUGGCUGCCAGGGGGCAACCCCGCACAGAACCCGGCUUAUCGGACGGCUUCCCCC